rnacentral:rRNA from 1 species
AUUGAACGCUGGCGGCAGGCUUAACCCAUGCAAGUCGAGCGAGCGGCGGACGGGUGAGUAAUGUCUGGGAAACUGCCUGAUGGAGGGGGAUAACUACUGGAAACGGUAGCUAAUACCGCAUACCAUCAGAUGUGCCCAGAUGGGAUUAGCUGGUUGGGGGGGUAACGGCUCACCAAGGCGACGAUCCCUAGCUGGUCUGAGAGGAUGACCAGCCACACUGGAACUGAGACACGGUCCAGACUCCUACGGGAGGCAGCAGUGGGGAAUAUUGCACAAUGGGCGCAAGCCUGAUGCAGCCAUGCCGCGUGUAUGAAGAAGGCCUUCGGGUUGUAAAGUACUUUCAGCGGGGAGGCGUUACUCGCAGAAGAAGCACCGGCUAACUCCGUGCCAGCAGCCGCGGUAAUAC